rnacentral:tRNA from 1 species
GCCGUCAUGGCGGAAUUGGUAGACGCACCGGCCUUCCAAGCCGGUAUCUUCGCAGGUGUGAGGGUUCGAGUCCCUCUGACGGCACCA